rnacentral:lncRNA from 1 species
AUGCUGCUAGGAUGGCACCACACCGUGCCUGCUCCCAGCGUGAUCCCUGCCUCCUCCUGGUGCCAUGAACCCACACCUCCCAUCCACAGGGAGAGUGUUGCAGGGAGCUCUGUUCCUGUGGGUACAGGGAGCCUUCCUCCUGCUCCUCGCCCUCCCACAUGCUUGGCACACCUCCCACUUCCUCCCCAGCUCAUCUUGAUGAAUUUGGCUCCAUCUCUCCAAUCUGCUUCUGGCCGUCUGGCAAUCCCGCAGAUUACCCAUCCCAGUGCCGGCUUAAGCCCAGCUGAGCAGGGAUCAGGAGGCAAUCGCAGUCCCUUGCCCCGCAAUGCCCGCAGUGCCGAGCCCUGCGCUGGGCAGCCGGACCUCCCCGAGGGGCACAGCACACCCAGGAGCCACAUCCAUCCCCCCCCACGGCACAAUGUCUGCCGGAGAGCCGCAUUCAGCCCUAAAUCACCGCCACAGCACAAACAGUUGGGGGACCCAGGGACCCCUCCGUGCCUCCCCCCACCACCGCCGCCCUUACCAGCUUGCACGGUGAGGAGGAGGAGGAGGAAAGCGGUGGCAGCGCAGCCCCAGCGGCGGGCAGCUGGGGGCCGGGUGCCCGUCAGCCUCGCCAUCGUUUCGCAUCUGCCGGGGCGCGCGGUGCCCGACGGGCGCUUAUGUAGGCCACGAGCCCCCCCAGCCCGCACCGCCACAUCGAUUGGUGGAAACUGGGACCCGCCGUUACCAAGGGAACGGCUUCCAGCCCCGAUCCAUCCCAUCCCACCCCGGCCCCCAGCCCCACGUCCCAGGGCGUCGUGCUCCAGCGAGCCCCGGGCACAAUGUGGGGUCGCUGCCGCUCGCUGCCGUCGGACCGCGCCGGCCCCGUGCGCAGCCACGGCUCUUUGUGCUGCGGGGACGCACUGGGGCUUUUGCAUUCAGGGCACAGUGCGUGCAGCCUCCCGGCUCCCCCACCUCAUGGGUAUUCAUGGCGGCGGCAGCCCUCGCCCUCCCAUCACCAUGGCAUCGGGCUGCCGGCAGGAACUGCCUGCCCUUUUCCCAGCCUUUGCAGCCAAGACACUGCGUGCGCUGCACGAGUGCUCGGUGCCGGCCCUCACUGGCCCCUCGCCCACCCCGACGGCUCGUGCAGGGCUUUGCAGUGGCACAGGGCACCAGAAAUGA